GCCCAGCAGUGAGUUCACGCCAAAAUGCAAACUUGGAGACGUACCCAAACAGGUGCCGGGGCUUCUCCCGUUUUUAACUAGACGGGAGAAGG
rnacentral:tRNA from 1 species